rnacentral:rRNA from 1 species
GGGGAAUAUUGCGCAAUGGGCGAAAGCCUGACGCAGCAACGCCGCGUGAGUGAAGAAGGCCUUCGGGUUGUAAAGCUCUGUCAGAAGGAAAGAAUGGGUCGGAUAACCUCCGGCUUUGACGGUACCUUCGAAGGAAGCACUGGCUAACUCUGUGCCAGCAGCCGCGGUAAUACAGAGAGUGCAAGCGUUGUUCGGAAUUAUUGGGCGUAAAGCGCGUGUAGGCGGCUUGAUAAGUCUGGCGUGAAAGCCUGAGGCUUAACCUCAGAAGUGCGCUGGAAACUGUCAAGCUGGAGUAUCGGAGGGGGAAGUGGAAUGCCGAGUGUAGAGGUGAAAUUCGUAGAUAUUCGGCAGAACAUCAGUGGCGAAGGCGACUUCCUGGACGAAUACUGACGCUGAGACGCGAAAGCGUGGGUAGCAAAC